ensembl:lncRNA
AAACUGUACUCCACUAUCUGCAUUGUCCUUCUGAGUGAGUUUGUUUCCCGGAACACAUGGCUACAACAUUUGGUGCAUUGGCUGGGAAACUCCUCACUUUGAGGAGACAAGUCCCAUUUGGGACUACUCCAAGGCCUUGCAGCUCGAAUCUUCUAGACGGGGGAAGGCGCCUCGCCCUUCCGGAAGCAUUCUGCUUCUCAACGCCCUGACCUUUCAUGUUAGCAGGUGGUGGACAGCAGCAGGGGAACUGAGUGCUCAGCCCACCAAGGCAGAACGGACUUUAAAAGUUAAGGGAGAAACAGUCUUGGAUCACGUGGUGUUCUGGUUUGGCCGUGCUGACCGGCCGGUGAAGACACGCCGAUCCCCCUUCUCCCUCUGGGAUCUGACAGGACAGAAUCUCAGAACUGCACCGCCUGCUCCCAGGUCAAUGCUGCCUCCCAGCACAGACAGAAACCUCCGGGGAUUCAGCUAAAAGGCACGCUGCCCUCUGAACACCUGGAAGUGGACUUCACUGAAAUGAAACCUCACCGACAUUACUGUUACCUGCUGGUCAUGAGCCUUGAAAAUGAAGAUGAAGUUAAAAUGAGGCUCUAAGAGUGGGCCUUAAUCCAAUGUCACUGGUGACUGUGUGAGAAGAAGAAAUUUGGACAUACAAAGGGACACCAGAAGUAUCUGCUGCAAGAAAAGACCACAUGAAGACACCAUGAAAAGACAGGCAUCUGCAGCCAUUAGGAAAGGCUUCAGAAGAAACCAAACCAAUUGAUGGUUCAGUCGCUCAGUCGUGUCCGACUCUCUGCAACCCCAUGGACUGCAGCACGCCAGGGCUUCCCUGUCCAUCACCAACUCCCGGAGCUUGCUCAAACUCAUGUCCAUCGAGUUGGUGAUGCCAUCCAACCAUCUCAUCCUCAACCAAUUGACACCUUGACCUUAAACUUCCCACCGCUGCAACUGUGAGAAAGUAAAUUCUGUUUUUUAAGCCAUUAGUCUGUGGUAUUUGUUAUGGCAGUUCUAGCAAGCUAAUGUAGCCUCUUGUAGCAAGUACCGGGGACUUCCCUGGUGGUCCAGCAGCUAAGACUCUGCUCUCAAUGCAGGGGGACUGGGUUCAACCCCUGGUUGGGGAACUGGAUCCUGCAUGCUGCAACUAACGGUUCGUAUGCCACAACUAAGAGUUUGUAUUCCACAACUAAAGAUCCUGAAUGUUGCAAUGAAGAUCAAAGAUCCUAGGUGCUGCAACUAAGACCCAGUGCAGCCAAAUUAAAAAAAGAAAAGUACUGAUACUUUAAUGCCCAAAUAUGUUCAAGUCAGAGCAAAUGUAUGAAAUAGUUCUGCAGUAUGCUGACUAAAGUACAGUUGGCCCUUGAACAACACCGGGUUUAGGAGAACUGACCCUCUGUGUAGCUGAAAGUCCAAAUAUAAUUUAUAGUUGGUCCUUCAUAUCUGUGGUGCCACACCUCAGAUCUUGUAAUACUAUUGUUAUUUACUAUUGAUAAAAAAUUCACCCAUAAGUGUACUAGUACAGUUCAAACCCAUGUUGUUCAAGGGUCAACUCUAGAUAAGAAUGGUCAUGGGCCAGAGAUCAGCUAAGGGGUUUGAGCUAUUCUGUUCCCCACAGCAACUGUAAGGGUUGAAGUUAUCAAUAUGUCAUGCACAUCUGUAACUCAUUUGUGAUACUUCAUCUGGGAAGCUCUUUUCCAAAGGAUACAUUUUAGGAAGAAGUAAAAUGAUCUCAUAAGGAAUGUCUUAUGAUCUCAUAAGGAAUUCACAGGAGAAAUUUCUUUCUAUAAUAUAUAUACUCUGAGCCCCAGGCAGAGUUUCAGAAUGGCUAUCUAAAAAAAAAAAGUAUUAAACAGAAGGACGCUACCUGAUGACUUCUCACGGAGCCAAGCUCCAACUUCUCUUACCACAGUUACCUUCCAGCUAUACUUUUUCUGCUUCUGCAUUUGGAUUCCAGUGAGUCGUGAGGGCAGAUCUGUGGGUAUAGCCACAUUCUCUCCUUGGGUUUCUCUCUGAAAAUACAAAGAUUUUUAUCUAAUGUUUGCUCCUAGCUUUAUAAUUCUCUUUUUAUAUUUUAUUUAUUGUCACUAUGUUUCGGACAGAGAUAAUGUGUUGAGAGUGAACAAAUGGAGACACCUUAAUCAGAAACCCAACAUAGCCAUUAUU